rnacentral:rRNA from 1 species
GAUGAACGCUGGCGGCGUGCUUAACACAUGCAAGUCGAACGGACAGGCGAGGUUCUUGCUGGUCGCACGUGAGGGGCGGGCGGGUGAGUCACACGAGGAUACCCUACCUAUAAGACUGGGACGACUACGGGACACUGGAUACCACAUCGGACAAGAUAUUGAACCGCGGGGUGCGAUAGUGAAAGUCGGCUUUGCUGGCACGACUAGCGGGUUCCGGGCUGCAGUAGCUAGUUGGUAGGGUAACGGCGUACCAAGGCGAGGCUGCGUAGCCGACCUGAGAGGGUGAUCGGCCACACUGGAACUGAGACACGGACCAGACUCCUACGGGAGGCAGCAGUGGGGAAUUUUGGGCAAUGGGGGAAAGCCUGACGCAGCAAGGCCGCGUGAGGGAUGAAGGCCUUCGGGUCGUAAAACUCUGUUAUUCGGGAAGAACAACUGUGGGCGAAUACCUGGGGGGGAUGACGGUACCGGAUGAAUAAGCACCGGCUAACUACGUG